GCCUAAGUCGGAUUAGCUAGUUGGUGGGGUAAAGGCCUACCAAGGCGACGAUCUGUAGCGGGUCUGAGAGGAUGAUCCGCCACACUGGGACUGAGACACGGCCCAGACUCCUACGGGAGGCAGCAGUGGGGAAUAUUGGACAAUGGGGGGAACCCUGAUCCAGCCAUGCCGCGUGUGUGAAGAAGGCCUUAUGGUUGUAAAGCACUUUAAGCGAGGAGGAGGCUACUUUAGUUAAUACCUAGAGAUAGUGGACGUUACUCGCAGAAUAAGCACCGGCUAACUCUGUGCCAGCAGCCGCGGUAAUACAGAGGGUGCGAGCGUUAAUCGGAUUUACUGGGCGUAAAGCGUGCGUAGGCGGCUUAUUAAGUCGGAUGUGAAAUCCCCGAGCUUAACUUGGGAAUUGCAUUCGAUACUGGUGAGCUAGAGUAUGGGAGAGGAUGGUAGAAUUCCAGGUGUAGCGGUGAAAUGCGUAGAGAUCUGGAGGAAUACCGAUGGCGAAGGCAGCCAUCUG
rnacentral:rRNA from 1 species